ACAGAGGAGAGCCAAGCAGUAAGCACAGCCCCCUUCAUUAUGCCGACAACAUCAAAGAGCCAUUCCAGAAUGAGAUUGCACAGGACUUCUCCAUUUUACACCCAGACUGCUCGGGGAAACUCACUGUGAAUUGGAUCGCGGUCUUCAAGGACAAAAAACUUUGCCUCGCCAGCCGAGAGAACAAGGCCCAAGAUCUUGUCUAGGAAGUGCAGACUCGGGAGAGGCGAAGGUCGAGAGCCAUGCGUCCUCCGAAACACAACCCAACCAAGCCACACUGCUUCUUGACACAAUGCACAUCAAACCCGGAAGCCAGCCACACCAAUGUGUCGGAGGAAACGCCGUGCACCUGGCGACCUGGUCACUGUUAGUUAUCUUUUAAACUUGGUUGAAAUCUACUGCUCAGUUAUCACUCGUCUCAUGUAAAUAACUCUGUAGUUGUCCCUUUAAACAUCCUAAGGUCAACAUCCCCAUAUUGUUCACAUUUCUUUCAUGUAAAAUGGUGUAGCUUCAUAAAGAUUAGACCAUUUAUUUGGGAAAUAUCCAGUCUUUGCUCUUUUCUUCCUUACCAUGAUGAUGAUUUCAAGUUAUCUUGGAUUUAUUUUAUUUGUUAAGACAUUGAAUACGUGUUUAAUAUAUUUAAACAUUUUGUGUUUGGUUUUUUCUCUGAGAAGUUCAUUUAAAGUCAUAUGUGAUUUGGUUUAUGUAGAUAAAACAUUUCAAUGUUGUUAACACACAUUAACCACAAACAUGAUCUGAUUUGCAUAUUGAUUGUUAGUUUGCGACAAAUUUGCAUCAAACAGUAGAAUGUUCACCACAAGUUUACCAGAAUUGUUUGGCAGUAGUUCACACGUUGCCGCAAAUUUACCGCAACAGUUUGCCAAAAAAACUCAUUUACAUGUGAAAAUAUGAGCUUGCCGCAAAUUUACCACAACAGUUUGCCACAAAACUCAUUUGCAUGUGAAAAUAUGAGUUUGCUGCAAAUUUACAACAAAUUGAGAAAAGGUUUGCCACAACUGUUUACCAGAAGCCUGUUUUUUUUUCCCGGUAAGGCACCUACGGCUGCAAAUAUUGAGGCGGCUUAUUUUAAU